UACAGAGGUCCCAAGCGUUGUUCGGAUUCACUGGGCGUAAAGGGUGCGUAGGUGGCCAGGUAAGUUUGGUGUGAAAGCUCGGAGCUUAACUCCGAAAAGUCAUUGAAUACUAUCUGGCUGGAGGGUCGGAGGGGAGACUGGAAUUCUCGGUGUAGCAGUGAAAUGCGUAGAUAUCGAGAGGAACACCCGUGGCGAAGGCGGCUCUCUGGUCGACAACUGACGCUGAGACGCGAAAGCGUGGGGAGCGAACGGG
rnacentral:rRNA from 1 species